CCUAUACGCACUUCCGGUAUUUUUUGUUUCUUUUUGUUUGUUUCCGAGCAACAUGGCGGCGCCCAUGUUCUAGUUUGUUUUGCGCUGCCGCGCUGAAGCCGUGCCCGCCGUAGAGUUGACGCCGAAAUGUUUGGGCUUUUGGGGCGGCGGCGCCUAUGUCCACUGUCGGCCGGCGUGGGAGACGCGGCACUUACGCCUUCGGAUGUUAGCUGUUUUAAGCAGAGAGCCAGAAGACUGCACUGGAAAUUCCAUUCAACACCAUAUUGCAGAACAUACCGUGAUGUGACCCCAAGCCCCCGAGUAUUUUCCGACAUUGUUCCCACUAUUGCAAUAAAUGACGAGAUCACACACAACAA
rnacentral:lncRNA from 1 species